rnacentral:rRNA from 1 species
CACGUAGGGGGCGAGCGUUGUCCGGAAUCAUUGGGCGUAAAGAGCUCGUAGGCGGCUCGGUAAGUCGGGUGUGAAACCCCCAGGCUCAACCUGGGGACGCCACCCGAUACUGCUGUGGCUAGAGUCCAGUAGGGGAGUGUGGAAUUCCCGGUGUAGCGGUGAAAUGCGCAGAUAUCGGGAGGAACACCAGCGGCGAAGGCGGCACUCUGGGCUGGAACUGACACUGAGGAACGAAAGCCAGGGGAGCAAACGGG